rnacentral:rRNA from 1 species
CCUACGGGUGGCAGCAGUGGGGAAUAUUGCGCAAUGGGCGAAAGCCUGACGCAGCGACGCCGCGUGAGGGAUGAAGGUUUUCGGAUUGUAAACUCCUUUUGUUAGAGAAGAUAAUGACGGUAUCUAACGAAUAAGCACCGGCUAACUCCGUGCCAGCAGCCGCGGUAAUACGUAGGGGGCAAGCGUUAUCCGGAUUUACUGGGUGUAAAGGGAGCGUAGACGGCAGCGCAAGUCUGGAGUGAAAUCCCAUGGCAUAACCAUGGCACAGGUUUAGAAACUGUGCAGCUGUAGUGCAGGAGAGGUAAGCGGAAUUCCUAGUGUAGCGGUGAAAUGCGUAGAUAUUAGGAGGAACACCAGUGGCGAAGGCGGAUUACUGGACUGUAACUGACGUUGAGGCUCGAAAGCGUGGGGAGCAAACAGGAUUAGAUACCCCGGUAGUC